CCUACGGGGGGCAGCAGUGAGGAAUAUUGGUCAAUGGGCGCAAGCCUGAACCAGCCAUCCCGCGUGCAGGAUGACGGCCCUAUGGGUUGUAAACUGCUUUUAUACACCAAGAAAAAACAGGACGAGUCCUGGUCUGACGGUAGUGUAUGAAUAAGCAUCGGCUAACUCCGUGCCAGCAGCCGCGGUAAUACGGAGGAUGCAAGCGUUAUCCGGAUUCAUUGGGUUUAAAGGGUGCGUAGGCGGCUUUUUAAGUCAGUGGUGAAAUCUUGCCGCUUAACGGUAAAAUUGCCAUUGAUACUGACAAGCUUGAGUACAGUUGAGGUAAGCGGAAUGUGUAGUGUAGCGGUGAAAUGCUUAGAUAUUACACAGAACACCGAUUGCGAAGGCAGCUUACUAAACUGUUACUGACGCUGAUGCACGAAAGCGUGGGGAGCGAACAGGAUUAGAUACCCCUGUAGUC
rnacentral:rRNA from 1 species